CUGGCUCAGGAUGAACGCUGGCGGCGUGCUUCAUACAUGCAAGUCGAACGAGAAUUGGUAGCUUGCUACCAAGGAAAGUGGCGGACGGGUGAGUAAUACAUAGGGAAUCUGCCCUUAGCUGGGGGACAACAGUUAGAAAUGACUGCUAAUACCGCAUAUGAGAUAGAUUGAGAUAUUUAUCUUGAAAACUCCGGUGGCUAAGGAUGAGCCUGUGCCUGAUUAGUUAGUUGGCGGGUAAAGGCCCACCAAGGCGACGAUCAGUAGCUGGUUUGAGAGGAUGAUCAGCCACAAUGGGACUGAGACACGGCCCAUACUCCUACGGGAGGCAGCAGUAGGGAAUUUUGCGCAAUGGGCGAAAGCCUGACGCAGCCAACGCCGCGUGAUUGAUGAAGCCCUUAGGGGUGUAAAGAUCUGUCAGUAGGGACGAAGAAUGACUGUACCUACAGAGGAAGCACCGGCUAACUCCGUGCCAGCCGCAGC
rnacentral:rRNA from 1 species